UUUCUUUUGUAAAUUUUUAUCGGCGUAAGCGAGAGUGGUUCUGCACCACUCAUUAACAUGUGAUCCAAUGGCCACAAUCUAUAGAUAAAUCAUGAUGUGAUUUAUACUAAUUUUCAGCCUUUGGAUCUUUUGAUCUAGAUUCAAAACAAACAAUUCAGAUUAUACAACAACUCAAACAAGCUAGUUCUAUUAAAUCCGACGAAAUGCUUUAUGCCUCCUCCACCACCGUAAAAUCCUCACUUUCUGCUAAAACCUACGGCGGAUCAGAUUGUCAUACAUUAUGUUCUUGUUCUUGUGAAGUAACUUUUUCAUGCGUCUUCAGUUUUAGUGUUGUUUAAUUUUAUUUUUCGUAUAAGAAGUGGAACUUAUCGAAGUUGGGUUGAAGAGCAGUUCACCAGAGUAUAAAAUGAGAAAAACGGUGGCGGAGAAGAGAAGAUACAGCUGCUGCUGAGAUGAGAGCGUUGGCUUAUCCUACAACAAGAACCAUUUCAGAGCCAUUGUUAUCUAUGCGGAAGUUGCAAGAUUCAAUAUUGAACAACCUUCACCUUAUGAUAAAGUUGUUUUCGAGGCUGUUAGUUACUUGAUCUCUGAGGUCAAGGAUGUGUACAGUUGCAGUAUGGAUUUGUUUUUUUGGUC